rnacentral:rRNA from 1 species
UACAGAGGUCUCAAGCGUUGUUCGGAUUCAUUGGGCGUAAAGGGUGCGUAGGCGGCGCGGUAAGUCGGGUGUGAAAUCUCGGAGCUUAACUCCGAAACUGCAUUCGAUACUGCCGUGCUUGAGGACUGGAGAGGAGACUGGAAUUCCCGGUGUAGUGGUGAAAUGCGUAGAUAUCGGGAGGAACACCAGUGGCGAAGGCGGCUUUCUGGCCCGUUCUUGACGCUGAGGCGCGAAAGCUAGGGUAGCAAACGGG